AGGAGAAAAAAGCCUGACAGUUGAGGAGAAGAAAAACUUUCUGUGAUAAAUAAGAAUCAAUGAUUUUUUUUUUCUUUUUUCCUCAGAGCAUCCCAUUUCUUUUAUCAAGCCACCUAGGUAGAUUCUUGAAUCUGCCUCCUGUAAAGGAGGCAUAAACCUGCUGCCUGAGCUGUCUUAAGAGCUUGAUCAAGCAGUGAGAAGGGCAAGAAAGAAGAUCCUGGAAACUAGGGGCUUGUCAGUCUCACUUCAGUGCCUGACCUAGGCUUCUCUGGACAUCUUGUGAAAUGCAACCCAGUGGUUGGAAGUCCCCUACGUGAAGGGAUGUAGGGGCUACAAGCAACUGAUCUGUACUUCCUGUGAAGCACAACGUUAACCUGAACUGAUGCAUAGAUGCAUAUUUGAUAUGAAAUACAAUGUUUGUUUGCAAAAAACCAAACCGAAGAACUUGUAUAUUUUGACUGGAACCAGCCUGAGCCUCAGAGAAAUCCCUUUCAGGGGAAAACUGAGAAUGACAACAGGAUUGAAGCAAUUAAGCUAAUUCCAGUUCUGCAAAACAGAUGUUUUCAAAAAGAGUAGUAUGUAUAGGGAAAUGUCUGAGCAGAUCUUUGUUGUCUUCAUGGCACGACAUAUCUAAACUUUAUAAACGAAUGGAAUGUUUUGCCCCAAAACUGUGUAGUUUUAUGUUUUACAAACAGUCCCAUUGUCCUGAGAGGUGAAAAAUAACAGUAAAAUACAAACCAAGGGUAGAGUUGGAGACAUAAAUCUUAUCCUAAGUUUAUACACAAUGCAGGGAAAUGAAGAAAAUACACAAAUACAGUAGGAACCAUAUGAAUCUCUUCUUUUAAAGUUUAAACCAAAAUCACUUGGAUUUUGUCUCAGGCAAAACUGACAUUAUAACUUUAAAUAAGGGUAAGUCAUGUGAGUAUAUAUAUACAUUAUCUAUCUAUCUAUCUAUCUAUCUAUAUAUGUCUCCAAAUACACUAAGUAAAAUUUAGGAGGUGGAAAGAGAGAGACACUACUAGCAUGCAUGUGAAGAGUUUGCCUACUAUCAGGUGGAAUUCAAAGUUACAUUUAUUUGACUUGGGAAAUGUGAUCUUUCUCUUUAAGUUCAUCCUUAAUUUUAAAGCAUAAUUUGUUUUGAUUGAAUUUCUAAUGUUAAUUAGUGAGGCUUGCACCAUUAAAGACAUCAAGAACAUAUAAUUAUGUUCCUUAUAAUUAUACCAUAAUUGUUUUAGUAUGUUAAAUGAUCUAAUAGAUUUUUUCCUGUUUCAACAGCAGCACUACUACCAUCUCUGUUUUAUGAAAUAACUGGCAAGCAUUCAGUAGGUGCUUUCAAGCAUUUCAAGUAAAGUUUUGAUGGGUAUUCAUCUACUAAUGAAAUAUUCAUGCAUUAUAUUUUUCUCUAUGACAAGUGACUUUCGCUGAAGCGCCUAAUGCUUGGUUUGCUUAGACAGAUAUAACAUUCAAUCAAACUAAUGGAAACUGUGGAGUACUGUUAUACUGGUUAUUAUUAAAUCAAAUUCUCUUGAUAAA